GAUGAACGCUGGCGGCGUGCCUAAUACAUGCAAGUCGAGCGAACGGACGAGAAGCUUGCUUCUCUGAUGUUAGCGGCGGACGGGUGAGUAACACAUGGAUAACCUACCUGUAAGACUGGGAUAACUUCGGGAAACCGUAGCUAAUACCGGAUAAUAUUUUGAACCGCAUGGUUCAAAAGUGAAAGACGGUCUUGCUGUCACUUAUAGAUGGAUCCGCGCUGCAUUAGCUAGUUGGUAAGGUAACGGCUUACCAAGGCAACGAUGCAUAGCCGACCUGAGAGGGUGAUCGGCCACACUGGAACUGAGACACGGUCCAGACUCCUACGGGAGGCAGCAGUAGGGAAUCUUCCGCAAUGGGCGAAAGCCUGACGGAGCAACGCCGCGUGAGUGAUGAAGGUCUUCGGAUCGUAAAACUCUGUUAUUAGGGAAGAACAUAUGUGUAAGUAACUGUGCACAUCUUGACGGUACCUAAUCAGAAAGCCACGGCUAACUACGUG
rnacentral:rRNA from 1 species